rnacentral:rRNA from 1 species
GACGAACGCUGGCGGCGUGCUUAACACAUGCAAGUCGAACGGAAAGGCCCUGCUUUUGUGGGGUGCUCGAGUGGCGAACGGGUGAGUAACACGUGAGUAACCUGCCCUUGACUUUGGGAUAACUUCAGGAAACUGGGGCUAAUACCGGAUAGGAGCUCCUGCUGCAUGGUGGGGGUUGGAAAGUUUCGGCGGUUGGGGAUGGACUCGCGGCUUAUCAGCUUGUUGGUGGGGUAGUGGCUUACCAAGGCUUUGACGGGUAGCCGGCCUGAGAGGGUGACCGGCAACAUUGGGACUGCGAUGCGGCCCAGACUCCUACGGGAGGCAGCAGUGGGGAAUAUUGCACAAUGGGCGGAAGCAUGACGCAGCCACGCCGCGUGCGGGAUGACGGCCUUCGGGUUGUAAACCGCUUUCGCCUGUGACGAAGCGUGAGUGACGGUAAUGGGUAAAGAAGCACCGGCUAACUACGUG